GGCUACUUGGUAAACCCACUUGUCUUUUGUCGGCCAAAGUGACCUGCACCAGAAACCAGAACUGUUUUCUCACUGGAAAAGAUGAAACUCCUUCAACUCAUUAUUGGGGGAAUCUCAGCCUACAACGCUGGAACAAAUGUCCGAACCUAUGAGAGAAUGGACAUUGGGACCACAGGAAAUGAUUAUUCUAAUGAUGUCGUGGCCAGAGCCCAGUGGUUCAAACGCAACGGCUACUGAGCAACAUUCAUAUUUCCCACAAUGAACUGCAAACUGUUCAAUAAAUCCUUAUUUUGUAUUGAUAAAAUAAAAUAAAAAUAAUCCUUGUAUUGAU